rnacentral:rRNA from 1 species
GAUGAACGCUGGCGGCGUGCCUAAUACAUGCAAGUCGAGCGAACAGACAAGGAGCUUGCUCCUCUGACGUUAGCGGCGGACGGGUGAGUAACACGUGGAUAACCUACCUAUAAGACUGGGAUAACUUCGGGAAACCGGAGCUAAUACCGGAUAAUAUAUUGAACCGCAUGGUUCAAUAGUGAAAGACGGUUUUGCUGUCACUUAUAGAUGGAUCCGCGCCGCAUUAGCUAGUUGGUAAGGUAACGGCUUACCAAGGCAACGAUGCGUAGCCGACCGGAGAGGGUGAUCGGCCACGCUGGAACAUUAACACGGUCCAGACUCCUCCGGGAGGCAGCAGUACGGAAUCUUCCGCAAUGGGCGAAAUAUUAACGGAGCAACGCCGCGUGAGUGAUGAAGGUCUUCGGAUCGUACAACUCUGUUAUUAGGGAAGAACAAAUGUGUAAGUAACUAUGCGCGUCUUGACGGUACCUAAUCAGAGAGCCACGGCUAACUACGCG